UUGUUCACGAAAAAGUAAUAAUUUUGCCAAUAUUUUUUUAAUGGUAUUCAAUAUUUUUAUUCCUGUUUUGUCUUGUGGUCAGUGAAGUUCCUAUUCCCUGGGAACAUAAACGUGGAUCCCGUAAUAAAACAUAUCUUAAGGAACUAUACUCUGGGGUGCCAAGGGACUUACUAGUAAAGGUUUAUAGAGCCUACAGACUAGACUAUCUUAUGUUUGGAUAUGAUUUCAACAAGGUUCUUCUAACGGCUGGAUAUCCAACCCUCUCUCAACAAUCAUUAUCGGAGGGAUCCUAAUCAAGUUGGAGGGAUUUAUAAAAAUCCUCGUUUCGGAGGAAACAAUCAUGUUAUUUGUUGGAGGGAUUCAGUCAUUGUUUGUGGAGAAAUAUUGAAAAAUAUUUUUUUAAAUCAUAGUUUGUUAGAGGGAUUUGAUGUGUCUAAAAUAUAUUUUUUCAAAUCAUUGGUUUUGGAAGAAAACUCAUCAUUUGUUCCAGGGAUUCAUUUUGCUGCUGAAGAGACUCGAAAAAUCUUAUAAAUAUUUUUUUUUUGUAGCGAUUUAGAUUUCAAAAUAUUUUUUUUAGGAGUGCUUGCUGGA